GUGAACAUGCUUUGUUGACACAUAUACUAAAACCAGAACAAUACAGAAAAGAUUAGUAUGACCCAUGCACAAGAAUGACACACAAAUUCUUGAAGUGUUCACAAUUUGA
rnacentral:snRNA from 1 species